GCUGCGGUAGCUCAGUGGUAGAGCACUUCAUUGGUAAUGAAGAGGUCGAGAGUUCAAUCCUCUCUCGCAGCACCA
rnacentral:tRNA from 38 species